rnacentral:rRNA from 1 species
ACGCUCGACACCUACUGGAGGCAGCAGUCGGGAAUAUUGCGCAAUGGAGGAAACUCUGACGCAGUGACGCCGCGUAUAGGAAGAAGGUUUUCGGAUUGUAAACUAUUGUCGUUAGGGAAGAAAAAGGACAGUACCUAAGGAGGAAGCUCCGGCUAACUACGUGCCAGCAGCCGUGUAGUACUGAGCGGCGNGNGAGAG